AACGAACGCUGGCGGCAUGCCUAACACAUGCAAGUCGAACGAGACCUUCGGGUCUUUUGUCGCAUGGGUUCGUAACGCGUGGGAACCUUCCCUUAGGUUCGGAAUAACUCUCCGAAAGGGGUGCUAAUACCGGAUAAUGUCUUCUGACCAAAGAUUUAUCGCCUUUGGAUGUGCCCGCGUUGGAUUAGCUAGUUGGUAGGGUAAAAGCCUACCAAGGCGACGAUCCAUAGCUGGUCUGGGAGAAUGAUCAGCCACACUGGGACUGAGACACGGCCCAGACUCUUACGGGAGGCAGCAGUGGGGAAUAUUGGACAAUGGGCGAAAGCAUGAUGCAGCAAUGCCGCGUGAGUGAUGAAGGCAUUAGGGUUGUAAAGCUCUUUUACCCGGGAUGAUAAUGACAGUACCGGGAGAAUAAGCCCCGGCUAACUCCGUG
rnacentral:rRNA from 1 species